UUUCUACAUCGCAUCUACAACAUGAUAGCCCGAAGUUUGUUACUCCUGCUUCUUUUCAUCAUGCUUUUGGUUUGUUGUACAAGAUGUUGUCAAACAAAAGCAUCAGACAAGUAUGAGAAUGUCAUUCUCGAGUUUCUACUGGACGCUCAACGACUGCCCUUGACAUACAAAAGUUACAUACUGAAAGACGCCCGAUACAUAAAGCUGAAAAAACGUUUGACGAAGUUUGUACCUCAAUUGAAGCGUUGGUUAAACAAUAAUAAGAGGUUGAGAAGAGUCUUGAGUUCCUAAACUAAUAAAUGUGGGAAGCGAA
rnacentral:sRNA from 1 species